GUCUGAUUAGCAGUAGCUUUCUCUCUCUUCCUCCCCAUUGCUUUUAGAUUCUGCUUUGGAAAGGUUGCAAGAAAAAUGGACAAACACAAGACCAAGAAUCUUAUGGAGCAUAAGAGAUAAGAGACAACAGCUGAUCACUUGCCUUAAAGUUUCUGUCAGCAAAGGUUGUUGGGAGUAUAGACCAAAUUACGUGAGCUUCUCGUGCACAAGAAAGAAUGAAAAUUUCAGAUUUUUCAAUGUUUAAUAUAUUUCCAAUUUAAUUCACUUUCUCAUUUUCUUUGACUUACAGGAGUUUUAUCUGUUCUUGUGUAUACUUUUUUUUUUGGUACAAAGGAGGUCGUAGCUUGGGAAUAGGGCAAGGGAUUGCAAGUGCUGGGAUUUGAACCCUAGAGCUACUGGAUGUCACCUCUUAAGGGUGACUGCAUGAACCAAUUGAGAUAAGCUCUCAUGUAUACUUUUACAAAGUAGGAGAAGUAGUGGAAUAUGCUUUUACAUAGUUUAAGAAGUACUGGAAUGUAGGUGACCCCUCAUUUUCUUUUGAAAUGAACUCAUUUUGCUGGUAGUAUUGAGGACAAAGUCAAACUUAUUAUUUCUUUUCUCUCCCUGAGAAAAGUAGAAGCAGGGAGCGAUGAGCAUGAAGGUGUUAGUAAUGGACUGCAAAAAUAUUAGAGUCCAUGUUAACCUCAUUCUGACAAAAGGAACAUGCAACUACAGAAACUUAUAGCCAGAUUAUAUCGCCUUUUUUAGAUAGACCAUGUUGGGGGUGAAAAAUCUUCAAAAAUGAGCUUAUGCAGGAAGUAGAGGUACCCCUCCAUAUGGUUUCAAUGUUAUGUCUAGAAUGUUUCUAGAACUUUUAAAAGCUUGCCUGAUGGUUUAGCUUUAGGUGGGUUGAGAUGCGGAGCUGAUGACAUCAACAUAUAGAUAUAUAGAUAUAAACAAUUGUACACUAUGCUGAUUAUGCAAAUUGUGACAUUUGCCUCUGUUAUACAUGUUGUUGGCCAGAAUCUGCCAAUGAGGAACAGUUCUUAAGCUAUGAGUUUUAUAUAAGUCAAAGUGCAUGAAGUUCAAGUGUCUGUUGCUGGAUUUUAAGUGAGAUGCCUAGACAUAGUUAUGUGGUUCAGUAUACACCUGUCGAUUUUCAGGUAAGAAACCAUGUGGUUGAGUCUAGUAUUUAUCAUUUUCUCUAUUGCUUGAUCAUUGGUUAGCAGCAAGAGAAAAACAUUCGAACCCAUUAAUAGAUAGAAACCAAUCUAGAGCAGUGCAUGAAGAGAUGGUGUUCGGGUGGGUAGUUUUGGUUGCUAAACGUCUCAUUUUGUGGGCAAAAAACAAAGAAGAUUUGAUCCUACUAUAAAUUGAGGUGCCAUUUUGAAAUUAUGGGCUGUGGUUCCAUUUAUUAUUAUAUUUUUCUAUGUUGCUUCAAUCAUUCAUUUUCCUUAAAGUACCUAUGUCCGAUACAUAUCUAACUGGCAUGGGUAUGGAGGUUUGACCCUUCAAAUAUAUGGAAAAACUUAGUAAAAAUUGCAUGUACCUGUGUUGGAUACAUACCCGCAUUUGACACACACCCCCAAGUCUGAGUAACUAUGUUAUUUUUCUUAACGUGGAAAGGGUUAUUAUCAUUGUCAAGGAGGAAUACAUAUAAAAUUAUUAAACUGAGAGGAAAAUAGGGGUGACUUAGGAGUUCCUGUCAACUUGUUUGACCUAGAAUAAUAAGCACUAAAAUAGUGAAAUCUUAAAAGGAUAUGAUUUUGUGUUUUGUUUUUUAUUUACACAUGUCUAUGCCAUCCAUGUUUUUUGGUUCUAGACUUUAAUUCUUUUGAUGGAUACUUGAUUGAUACAGAAAAUACUAAAAGAUCCAGUAUUAGAAAGUUGUAUGGUCUGGCUUUGAUUAUUUCUCUUUGUUUUGGAUAAGUGACUUUGAUUAUUUCAUAUUGAUUAAGUUGAUGCAAAAUAUAACAAAUGAAGGAAAGAGAAAGUUGAGAUACAAAUCAUGCAAUGCAAUGUGAAGGCUCCCACAGCCAGUUGACCUCAAUGAUGAUCACAAAUUUAUGGGCAACUUGUCUGAGAUGCAAAAUAUCCAGUAACCAUACUUCAAAAUUUCCUUGUCAAGCUGCACAAAUUAAUUUCCUACACAGAUCUCCUUUUUUAUUUUCUCAUUUGCUAAUUUUUGUUUCCCUCUUUACUGUCAAAGAGAAAAGAGUGGUCUUUUAGUUAAGGGCCAGGUCACAUGUUGUGCCCUUACCACUAGUUUAUUAUUUGGAAAUCUGGUUCUUGUCAUGUUCUAUUGACUCAUUGCAUAUAAUGGCUGAAAUUUUGAUAAUCAGUAGGAUAUAUCCCUUCUCCAAACAAAAUAAAAAAAGGUGACCUCAGAAAAUGAACAUGCUAAUUAAGAUUAGGGAUUCGAUCAAGAGGAGUAAACUCAUGAGAUCAUAUCUACUUAUGGUUAUUUUGCCCUAUAUUUCAGUAUGCUAGUUUCAAGAAAUAUUAAGUCCAUGUUGGUUGAAAAGUCACCAAGAGCUCAGAUAUGACCAAGAGUGCAAAUGCAAACCAAUUAAAUAUUCAUUGAGAUAUGAUUUUAAGGUAGAAAAUGUUUUUGGAAAGACCAAAAGAUAGUAAUUAUAAGAAUUUCUGUGAGGAAAGGAAUUCCAUGAUAGGAUACACUAACUUUAACUAUUUGAUAACAAAAUGAAUAAGGAGCUUUUUUUAUAGAGAGAUUGAUGUUAGAUUAUAGGACAGAUAAAAUAUGCUUUGACUAGGGAUAAGGUUUUGUAUCUAGCAUUUUCAUACGGUGCUUUUUCUUUUUAUUAGCUAUUGUUUGCGUGGUUGCUUUAUAUGCUUACUACUGAUAUGAAAGUUACAGUCGUAAUUACUGAUGAAACAAAAGCACUUCUAUGAGGUUCAUAACUCAUUGAUUGAUAUGUUAAUGUUUGUUUAUGUAAGAUAAGGCAUAAAGCAUAUGUUUCAAAGAAACCUGUUGGAAAGAAAACACGCACACCUGGGUGGUGACAGGCAGAGAUAAUUCCUUCAAAACUUCCUAAUAGUUACUUGUUGCAUCUUGUUGGGCUGUGAAAGGAGAGAACUUUUUGAUUAAGCAUACCCACUAUUUAGCUCAAAAUAUGGCUGAGCCUAUGAGCUUUGCAUGCAAUAAGGAUACUACAACGGUUGUUUUUGUUAUCCAUUCUUCUAAUGUCAUUGUGUUGACAACACAUCGAUCUUUGCAGGUAAGUAAACCGUCAAAAUGAAGCUUUUGCAUGUUUAGGGGAAGAAUGAAAUUGUCUUCUGGAUUUUAGACGAUGUUAACAAACCAGGAAAACUUCUUGCUACUCUGAUAACUUCUUCGAUUGUCCCAUGAAGAGCAGAGGUUAAAAGAUUUGAAGAAAAUGUCAGGCAGAAUUCAUUUUCAAACAUGUUGAAUUCAAUACAAUGAAUCAUGGUCUUUCCGUCCUAUGUACAUUCACAAAGUGAAAUUCUUUGUUUACUUUUCUUUUUUUUUUUUUUUCUUCUUAAAUCUAAUCAUUUCUGUUAAUGACUUUCACAUUUUUUUUAGUUUUCUUGGGUACAUUAAAUGGCGAGGGAACACUAUUGAGUUAAGUGUGGAUUGACUAAAGCAUUGACUAUUAUUGCUUGUUGGAUUAGUAACCAUGGAAGUUUCGAGAAUAAUAAUUUGUUUAAAACUUUUGUGAAGCUAAUUUUGAAAUUCCUGGAUUGUCCUCUUGAAACAGCUUUGGUGAUGAGCUGUCAUCAAUUCCACGGUGUAAAGUCUGACAAGGGAACUUGCGAAGAAUUUUCAAGUUAUUUUGUUUGCUUGACUCUAGGUUAUUCGAUCCAGUGUUGAGUUUUACAAUGAAAGCUCAGAAGAGGAAUAAUGGUGAGCUUCUUCCAGAUCAUUAACCAUCAUCCAAAUAUCAUCUUCAUCGGCCACUGGGGGAUCAGAGUGAUCUCCUCCAGAAUGUGAAGUACCUGAG